UCCCCCCUGGUGCUUACCAGAGGUUGUGUCUUACACUGACCUUAUAGAAGAAGAGGAGGCAGAGUAAACCUACCCCGGGUAGGCCUCAGCCCAGGCCCUGCACCUGGUCUGCAUUGUGAAAGGGGAAACAUGG